UACGGAGGGUGCAAGCGUUGUCCGGAAUCACUGGGCGUAAAGGGCGCGUAGGCGGCCCGGUAAGUCGGGGGUGAAAUCCUGCGGCUUAACCGCAGGGCCGCCUUCUAAACUGUCGGGCUCGAGCACGGUAGAGGCAGAUGGAAUUCCCUGUGUAGCGGUGGAAUGCGUAGAGAUCGGGAAGAACAUCAGUGGCGAAGGCGGUCUGCUGGGCCGUUGCUGACGCUGAGGCGCGACAGCGUGGGGAGCAAACAGG
rnacentral:rRNA from 1 species